CCUGGGAACUGCGUUNUGAACUGGGUGACUAGAGUGUGUCAGAGGGAGGUAGAAUUCCACGUGUAGCAGUGAAAUGCGUAGAGAUGUGGAGGAAUACCGAUGGCGAAGGCAGCCUCCUGGGAUAACACUGACGUUCAUGCCCGAAAGCGUGGGUAGCAAACAGGAUUAGAUACCCUGGUAGUCCACGCCCUAAACGAUGUCGAUUAGCUGUUGGGCAGCAUGACUGCUUAGUAGCGAAGCUAACGCGUGAAAUCGACCGCCUGGGGAGUACGGUCGCAAGAUUAAAACUCAAAGGAAUUGACGGGGACCCGCACAAGCGGUGGAUGAUGUGGAUUAAUUCGAUGCAACGCGAAGAACCUUACCUGGUCUUGACAUGUACGGAACCCUCCAGAGACGGAGGGGUGCCUUCGGGAGCCGUAACACAGGUGCUGCAUGGCUGUCGUCAGCUCGUGUCGUGAGAUGUUGGGUUAAGUCCCGCAACGAGCGCAACCCUUGUCAUUAGUUGCCAUCAUUAAGUUGGGCACUCUAAUGAGACUGCCGGUGACAAGCCGGAGGAAGGUGGGGAUGACGUCAAGUCCUCAUGGCCCUUAUGACCAGGGCUUCACACGUCAUACAAUGGUCGGUACAGAGGGUAGCCAAGCCGCGAGGUGGAGCCAAUCUCACAAAACCGAUCGUAGUCCGGAUUGCACUCUGCAACUCGAGUGCAUGAAGUCGGAAUCGCUAGUAAUCGCAGGUCAGCAUACUGCGGUGAAUACGUUCCCGGGUCUUGUACACACCGCCCGUCACACCAUGGGAGUGGGGGAUACCAGAAGUAGGUAGGGUAACCGCAAGGAGC
rnacentral:rRNA from 1 species